rnacentral:rRNA from 1 species
AACGUAGGGGACAAGCGUUAUUCGGAUUUACUGGGCGUAAAGCGCCCGUAGGCGGCCUGACAAGUUGGACGUGAAAGCUCCCGGCUUAACUGGGAAAUUGCAUCGGAAACUGAUCGGCUGGAAGGUGGGAGAGGUGAGUGGAAUUCCCAGUGUAGCGGUGAAAUGCGUAGAUAUUGGGAGGAACACCAGUGGCGAAGGCGGCUCACUGGACCGGUACUGACGCUGAUGCGCGAAAGCGUGGGGAGCAAACAGG